GACGAACGCUGGCGGCGUGCUUAAUACAUGCAAGUCGAGCGACGAAACCGAAAGGGGUAACCCUUUCGGCUGAAAGCGGCGAACGGGUGAGUAACACGUGGGUAACGUGCCCCAGACUCUGGGAUAACUACGGGAAACCGUUGCUAAUACCAGAUGACCCUUGCAGACCGCAUGGUAUGCAAGGCAAAGUCUUUCGGUCUGGGAUCGGCCCGCGGCCUAUCAGCUUGUUGGUGGGGUAAGUGGCCCACCAAGGCUUUGACGGGUAGCUGGCGUGAGAGCGUGGCCAGCCACACUGGGACUGAGACACGGCCCAGACUCCUACGGGAGGCAGCAGUAGGGAAUCUUGCGCAAUGGGCGAAAGCCUGACGCAGCGACGCCGCGUGAGGGAUGAAGGCCUUGGG
rnacentral:rRNA from 1 species